GACGAACGCUGGCGGCGUGCUUAACACAUGCAAGUCGAACGGAAAGGCCCUGCUUAUGUGGGGUGCUGGAGUGGCGACCGGGUGAGUAACACGUGAGUAACCUGCAAUUGACUUUGGGAUAACUUCAGGAAAGUGGGGCUCAUCCCGGAUAGGAGCUCUUGCUUCAUGGUGGGGGCUGGAAAGUUUAGGAGGUUGGGGAUGGACUCGCGGAUCAGCAGCUUGGUGGAUGGGUAGUGGCGUAUCAAGGCCUUGAACGGUAGCCGGGCUGCGAGGGGGAGCGGCCACGUUGGGACUGAGAUACGGCCCAGACUCCUACGGUAGGGAGCAGUGGGGAAGAGUGCACUAUGGGCGGAAGCCUGAUGCAGCAACGCCGCGUGCGGUAUGACGUCCUUCGCGUUGUAUUGUGCUUCCGCCUUUGACGGGGUGUUAGUGACGGUAAUGGGUGAAGAAGCACCGGCUAACUACGUG
rnacentral:rRNA from 1 species